GUAAUGUGUGCUGGAACCAGAUGGACAGAGACACAGCGAGUCUGAUCUGUCAAGAGCUGAACUGUGGAAGAUCUGGUGUUUUGACUGCUUCUACAGCAAGAGUGAAAUCAGCCCCUAACUGGCUGGAUAAAGUUACAUGUCGACCACACGACUCCAGUAUAUGGCAGUGUCCAUCUUCAACGUGGGGACAGAAUGACUGUAAUAAUAAGGAUGAAGUGGCCAAAAUUACUUGUUUAGUGGAGAAGACUAAUGAGUCUCCUCUGAGUCAUCUGACAUGUUCAUCAUCUCCUCACAAUAGACAGUGUUCUAAUCAUGUUCCUCUCAGACUGACUGAAGGGGACGGCCGGUGCUCUGGG